UUUUCAUAAAAUGGGUUUCAUAGUUUUUGGCUUUCAAACCUCUGUUAUGUCUCUGUAAUUGAGAAAUUGUGCUAUUAUAUGGAUAUAUGUAAUAAUAAGAGUAGCAUAACAUGUUUUAUAUAUAUAUUGCAUGAUUCCAUAUCAUCAGUUUCAUAGUAUUACAUCGUAUAUGAUUUCUACAAAAUUACAGAGUUUGGGUUUUGGCCUUAAGGCCUUAUACGUGAUUUUA
rnacentral:lncRNA from 1 species